ensembl:lncRNA
UGAGAAAUUAAGCAGAAAUCUUGUUUUCCAUCUGUUAAGCAACAAUAACCAAACUAAUAUAUAAAUGAAUUAAUUAAAAUAAAAUAAAACAAUUUGCUGCCUUUUAAUUUCUUGAUACUCCUUUUCAGAUAGGAUGUCAAGCUGGUAAAAUGUACAUCUUGACCAGAGAGUUCUCUGAUUUUAUUCACACUGUUUAUUUUCUGUUUUAAAGGUACAGCCGGAAGACGAGAAAACCUUUGUUGGAAUGUUGGCCUGUUUUUGCUUCCUGGCCCAGCCUUUACAAAGCUACCUACAGUGGCAGAACGAAGAAAAAUGACACAAACUGGAUUUGGUAGCCCUGUGGAUGACACAGGUAAACAAAAAGUGGCCAAAAUCCAAAUGAACUGGAGUUUGGCAGAUUUCAAACAAUUUAUCUGUCAAAGUUUCCCAGAUGUCAGCCUGAAUUUGAUUGGAUAUGAGUUAGCCAAAGCUGACAGAGGAAAGAACCUAAAGAAAGUUCAGGUUGCUUCUGUCAGAGAAUUAAAGCAAGCUCUUGGCCGGAGUAGGCUGUACAUUUUGCCUUUAGUAGAAUUAUACCAGGAAUCAGGACCUUCUUUGUACUCAUCACAAAAUGAACCUGAACCAGGAACCAACUCUGAGGCAACUCCAUGUGUAGUCAUUGACCUUACUGAUUUUACAAACCAGGAGCUUAUUGGCAACACAGAGGACACUGCAGACAGCACAGUGGUCUUGCAGCAGUGGCGAUCUUUACGGCAAGAACAAGACAAAGAAUUUGAACAGUCUUUAAUGGAAGACAGAGCAAAAGUAAGUAACUAUUACAACAUUCAACAAACAAUCUUUGAUUAACAACAUUAAGGAAUAUAUACACUGCAUUAGCUACUAUUUUUAAAUGUUGAGGUCCUCUUUCUUAAUCUUGG